UACAGAGGGGGCAAGCGUUAUUCGGAAUUAUUGGGCGUAAAGGGCGCGUAGGCGGCCUUUCAAGUGACGGGUGAAAUCCCCCGGCUUAACCGGGGAACUGCCUGUCAGACUGGGAGGCUUGAGGCCGGGAGAGGUGAGUGGAAUUCCCAGUGUAGCGGUGAAAUGCGUAGAUAUUGGGAGGAACACCAGUGGCGAAGGCGGCUCACUGGACCGGUACUGACGCUGAUGCGCGAAAGCGUGGGGAGCAAACAGG
rnacentral:rRNA from 1 species